ACGGGGGGUGCAAGCGUUAUCCGGAUUCACUGGGUUUAAAGGGUGCGUAGGUGGGUUGGUAAGUCAGUGGUGAAAUCCCCGAGCUUAACUUGGGAACUGCCAUUGAUACUAUCAGUCUUGAAUAUUGUGGAGGUUAGCGGAAUAUGUCAUGUAGCGGUGAAAUGCUUAGAUAUGACAUAGAACACCGAUUGCGAAGGCAGCUUACUAAGCAAAUAUUGACGCUGAGGCACGAAAGCGUGGGGAUCAAACAGGA
rnacentral:rRNA from 1 species